AGCACACACACAAUCAGGAAGCAAAAGGAGCAGAAAACACACAACAGCAGAGUUUAUCUGUGAGCUUAUCGAGUGGCUGCUAUUCAUAGGAGUGUUAUCUUUAGAUGGCUUUGAAUUAGAACAAGGCCACUCGGAGCGCUAGUUCCUAUUUGCUUGCAUGGACACGGACGGGACUUUGCCGCUGAUGGGUCGAGAGAGCAGCACAUUGGUUGCAGGGGAACCUGGAGCCUAUCCCAGGGAGCAUCAGGCACGAGGCGGAGUACACCCUGGACAGUGUGCCAAUCCAUCGCAGGGCACAAUCACAUACACACUCACACACCCAUUCAUACACUACGGACACUUUAGAGACGCCAAUCAGCCUACCAUGCAUGUCUUUGGACUGCGGGAGGAAACCAGAGUACCCGGAGGAAACCCCCGCAGCACGGGGAGAACAUGCAAACUCCCACACAAAGGGCCACGGUGAAAAUCAAACCCCCGACCCUGGAGGUGUGAGGCGAACGUGCUGACCACUAAGCCAUCGUGCACCCACUCAUUCUCAUCAUACAUAUGUUAAAUUACCUCAGUUACAUCUUUUUAGCUGGUUAGUUCAUUGGGUUUCCAGCCAAGCAUGUCAUGGGACUGUACAAGCAUAUGACAGUAGCUGAAGUGAAUUUACUUCAUCCAGAAGUAAAUGUCCUGCCUGAACUGUCCAGUUGUACCAAUCUCAGUAUAUAAAUACACAUUUCAUAUUGAGAAAUACAGGAAGCAAUUAUCAUAGCAAACAUGAAACCACUCAUGACUGCUCACUUUAACGUGUAUACAUCAGACUAUGUGUUUUGCAUCCCAUUGGUCCAUAACAUACUGACACAUCAGACUGCACAAACUAAAAAUGAUAAACAUUUAUGUCUCACUCAUUAUGUGUUAACUCAUAUUAAUGCAUGUCUGUAGUGAGUAAUGCAUGACGUGCGUAGCGGAUGGUGAGGCAUCAUGAGAAAGUGUACUGUCACUGUACAACAGCGCCAGAUGUAUGAUGGGAAGAUAGGGUCUCAGGAAAAAUGCACUGAGAACGGGAUGUUCAAUUCUGUGUUUAGUAUACAAUGUAAUAAUAAUGAUAAUAAAUAAUCAUAACAGUUUACUUAAGGGUAGUACUUAUAGAGAUACAUGAGUCGUAACUGACAUUUAUAAAAAUUAAUGUCAACAGAACAUUUUUUUUAUUGCCGUCAAUGUCAAGAGAAAUAAUGUUGUGUUACAAAGUUUUAUGUUUACUUUAAGGUGUCAUGACAACUGACUUUGGGGCUCUUGUAUGUUGGUGAAGUAAUGUAGUGAAGUAACACGCUGCUACUCCAUUAACUGAAACGCUGGAAAUCACACAAAUUGAACCAACAUGAGUCACUGAACUCACUGACUCAAGUGGUCUGCUGAAUGGGAGAGGAGUAAAUUUUGAUCCUGAUGAAAGGAUUUUACUGAUUUAAGAGGUUCUGUAUACACACAAUAAUAUAGCCAAUAUUUAAAGAACAGCUACACAUAAAACAUACAAUAUAAAACAGCAAUUACCUAAAUAAUUCACUGACUCGUUGAGCAACAAUAGAGCAAAUCUUGUUCUUGAACAAAAGGAUUCAGUGACUCAAACACUGACCUGCUGAAUGCUAGAAGAUCAAAUCCCUAUCAAGACUAAAAGGAUUCACUGACUCAAAGACCCGCUGAAUGCGUCAACAGCAAAUCACGGUCAUGACCAAAGAGGUCAUACAAUGACCUAUAAUAAUAGAAGUGGAAAUAUCAUUCUUGAUCAGAAUGACACACUGACACAUGGACAUGAGAACAGAGAACUGUGGUCAUGACUAUAAUGAUUCACUGAAUCCUCUGAAUAUGAGCC
ensembl:lncRNA